GUAGUGAGAGAGCUGUGACUGCGUUUCCAGCUCCUUGAAGGCAGAGAGACUCCUGCCUUUCGGGGCGGGCGGGCUGGAACAAAGACACCAACGGGGCCACCUCGGAAAGUCUUUUUGAGCAGUUUCAGCAAAUAGCAUUUAAGGGAAGGGAAAAAAACUCCAAUGUACUCAAUAAGGUACAGUAUAAUAUCCCAUUAUUGAGGAGCCAAAAAGCAGGGAUUUACCGCAAACGUUUUUGGGAGCUCGAUUUCUCUGGAAAGACAGGGCACGCAUUUCUCAUGUAUCGUGGGCCAGUAUUUGACCAUUUCCUGUGACCAUUUCUUUACAUAAUUUUCUCAGUUUAGUUUUUAAAAAUUAAAAUAGAAGUCAUACCUAAUCUCUUUAAAACGUUCAAACAGUAUAAAAUUAAGGUAAAGGAGUUGAAGUUCCUCAUUCCUUUUGCUCACUCCCACGCAGCUCAUGAUCUCACCAGAGAUAGCUAAUAACUACUUUUUAACAGUGUGAAACAUAUUUUCCAGACGUUUUCCAUAAAAUGCACAUAUACAAAUACACAUGCUUUGUUUUAAAUACACCACUGGUAUCAUAUUUAUAGACACUGUUAUACAACUUGCUUUUUUCACUUUGAGUAUCGAUCAUGGACAAUUUCCAAUGUAGGUAUUUUUCUAGUGAGCUAUAAAUUUUGGGGAACCAUGUCAUACAUGCUCCUGGGGAAAAUUCAAAUUAUAGGGCUUGUGGGGAAGGGUGGGUCUCCCUCCU
rnacentral:lncRNA from 1 species